rnacentral:rRNA from 1 species
AUUGAACGCUGGCGGCAGGCUUAACACAUGCAAGUCGAGCGGGGGAAGGUAGCUUGCUACCGGACCUAGCGGCGGACGGGUGAGUAAUGCUUAGGAAUCUGCCUAUUAGUGGGGGACAACAUCUCGAAAGGGAUGCUAAUACCGCAUACGUCCUACGGGAGAAAGCAGGGGAUCUUCGGACCUUGCGCUAAUAGAUGAGCCUAAGUCGGAUUAGCUAGUUGGUGGGGUAAAGGCCUACCAAGGCGACGAUCUGUAGCGGGUCUGAGAGGAUGAUCCGCCACACUGGGACUGAGACACGGCCCAGACUCCUACGGGAGGCAGCAGUGGGGAAUAUUGGACAAUGGGGGGAACCCUGAUCCAGCCAUGCCGCGUGUGUGAAGAAGGCCUUAUGGUUGUAAAGCACUUUAA